rnacentral:rRNA from 1 species
AGCAGUGGGGAAUUUUGGACAAUGGGGGAAACCCUGAUCCAGCCAUCCCGCGUGUGCGAUGAAGGCCUUCGGGUUGUAAAGCACUUUUGGCAGGAAAGAAACGUCGCGGGUUAAUACCCCGCGAAACUGACGGUACCUGCAGAAUAAGCACCGGCUAACUACGUGCCAGCAGCCGCGGUAAUACGUAGGGUGCAAGCGUUAAUCGGAAUUACUGGGCGUAAAGCGUGCGCAGGCGGUUCGGAAAGAAAGAUGUGAAAUCCCAGAGCUUAACUUUGGAACUGCAUUUUUAACUACCGAGCUAGAGUGUGUCAGAGGGAGGUGGAAUUCCGCGUGUAGCAGUGAAAUGCGUAGAUAUGCGGAGGAACACCGAUGGCGAAGGCAGCCUCCUGGGAUAACACUGACGCUCAUGCACGAAAGCGUGGGGAGCAAACAGGAUUAGAUACCCUGGUAGUCCACGCCCUAAACGAUGUCAACUAGCUGUUGGGGCCUUCGGGCCUUGGUAGCGCAGCUAACGCGUGAAGUUGACCGCCUGGGGAGUACGGUCGCAAGAUUAAAACUCAAAGAAAUUUGACGG